rnacentral:rRNA from 1 species
AGAGUUUGAUCCUGGCUCAGGACGAACGCUGGCGGCGCGCUUAAUACAUGCAAGUCGAGCGAGAACCAGGGCUUCGGCCCUGGGGACAGCGGCGAACGGGUGAGUAACACGUGGGUAAUCAACCCUCGACACUGGGAUAGCCCGGGGAAACCCGGAUUAAUACCGGAUACCCCGUCCGGCCUUCGGGCCGGCCGGAAAAGGUAGCUUCGGCCUCCGGUCGGGGACGAGCCCGCGGCGGAUUAGCUUGUUGGUGUGGGUAAUGGCCCACCAAGGCGACGAUCCGUAGCUGGUCUGAGAGGACGAUCAACCACACUGGGACUGAGACACGGCCCAGACUCCUACGGGAGGCAGCAGUAGGGAAUCUUGCGCAAUGGGCGAAAGCCUGACGCAGCGACGCCGCGUGAGGGAAGAAGGCCUUCGGGUUGUAAACCUCUUUCAGGAGGGACGAAGCCACUCGGGUUAAAAGCCCAGAGGGUGACGGUACCUCCAGAAGAAGCCCCGGCUAACUACGUGCCAGCAGCCGCGGUAAUACGUAGGGGGCAAGCGUUGUCCGGAUUUAUUGGGCGUAAAGAGCGUGUAGGCGGCCAAACAGGUCCACUGUGAAAACUCGAGGCUCAACCUCGAGAGGUCGGUGGAAACCGUAUGGCUAGAGUCCGGAAGAGGAGAGUGGAAUUCCCGGUGUAGCGGUGAAAUGCGCAGAUAUCGGGAAGAACACCCGUGGCGAAGGCGGCUCUCUGGGACGGUACUGACGCUGAGACGCGAAAGCGUGGGGAGCGAACAGGAUUAGAUACCCCCGUAGUCC